AACCGCCGUGUACGGAACCGUACGCACGGUGGUGUGAGAGGUCGAAAAUUUCUCUAAUCAGAGAAAUUUUCUCCUACUCGAU
rnacentral:ncRNA from 1 species